rnacentral:lncRNA from 1 species
UGAGACUUUUCUAUAAGCUAGAGUCCUUCUUUAAUAGACUUUCACUUAGCAGUUUGACAUAAUAAAUUCCUUCCCAUUGCAGAGAUCAAGGACAUGGUGUUCUAAAUGCUCUCUUUCUGUACCUUAAGUGCUUUUGAUGGUUUCUGAUACUUUGUACUAUAGUUUAGACACACUUUAUAUAUUGAUUUUUGUUUAGGUUGCCCUGUGUGAAACCAGGAGUUGGACUCGAUCCUCAUGGGACCCUUCCAGCUCAGGACAUUCUAAGAUUCUAUGAUUCUAGGACAAGAUAUGGUUAGUUAUAUUGCAUAUACCCCAUACAUAAGGUCACCUAAAGUGUCUGAGGACUUUAGUCAAUGAUUAGUCCUUUUAGUCCUUCCAUGUGAAUCUGCAGAAACAGUCUGUAUCAUAACAUUAUAGAGUAUGGCACUGAUAUAGAGAAGAUAAAAUAGGUCUCUGGGUAGUACAUCUGUCACAAAGGAAAAAAGACUGGUAACAAAAAGGGAUAAUGCAUAUACUUUUUAGGGGGAACAUUUUCCAAGCCCCUCAUGUACUGGACAUAACACUAAAUUUCUUUUCUUCCACUGCAGUGAAAUAGAGUAUGUACAACUCUCAGAACAUUCUAGAAACACAUAGGGACUGAUGUUACUUUUUCAGAAAUCCCAACACCAAUGGGAUGGGAACAGAAAAAGAAGACUGAAUUUCAAAUUCAGAUCCCCAUCUUGAGCAGAGGUUGACUGAAUUAUGCAUAAAUUCAUAAAAUUAUUAAUAUAAAUUCUAUUAUUAAUUAUAACUGAAGAGCUCAAACUUUAUAAAGAUUCUUGUACAAAAGUGAAAAUAAUAUUUCGUCUUUCAAAAUGUCGUGCAACUAAAUAGUAUUUGAGAAGGUUUGGGUUAAUUAUGUCUGUAGUUAAACUAAACUAACAGAUAGAAAAUCAGAGCAAAUAGUUCACAAAACUGUUGAAGUGCCUCUAAGUGGAUCACCAGCUAAGCUGAGUGGAUCACUCACUAAGAGGACAUUUGUUGUUCAGAAUCUAACACGGGUGAAUUCCUGCCAAAUCAACAGGCCUCUGUCCACAGCUUUCUCUGAAAUUUCUUCCAGAUGUGAAACUCCCAAUAUGCACGUCAAGCUCAAAGAAUCUACAUGGAAAUGUUAUAAAUAUUAAUAAAUGGCCAUUACAAGAUUUCGUCAACUGACCUUACUGCAAGGAGCAAUCCAGUAAGCCAUUGAAAGGAAGGGCAGUCCUACUGCAACAGCGAGA